UACGGGGGAUGCAAGUGCUAUCCGGAAUUACUGGGCGUAAAGCGUCUGCAGGUGGUUUCCUAAGUCCACUGUUAAACCUUGAGGCUCAACCUCAAAUCUGCAUUGGAAACUAGGAGACUUGAGUAUAGUAGGGGUAGAGGGAAUUUCCAGUGGAGCGGUGAAAUGCGUAGAUAUUGGAAAGAACACCGAUGGCGAAGGCGCUCUACUGGGCUAUUACUGACACUCAGAGACGAAAGCUAGGGGAGCAAAUGGG
rnacentral:rRNA from 1 species